ensembl:lncRNA
CCAUCCACAGUGACUUUCUUCUAUUGGCUCAGGCAGUCAUGAACAAACAUGAUCUGAAGGGCCAACAGAGGAGCUCAGGUAAAUGUAAGGAUGUAGUUCGUGAUACCAGAGUUUUUAUGGAUGGUAAUACAGUGUGGGGUAGUUCUUUUCCCUGAAGAUUUCUUGCAGACAGCAAAUGUCAUCCACCUUAGAUGGAGUGGCUGGAGAUCAGAGGGAUGUAACUGGGCCUACCAAGGAUUGCCCAAGAUUGACAUCGAGUAGCUGCAUUGUGAUUGUGGUUCUCCAGCUUGUAGAUGAAGUCACCAAAAUGGUUGCCCUGCAUAUAAUUGAUACUCUGUUGAGUAUCAGUGCCCUUUGGACAGAUCAUCUCUGAAAAUACCAGACUAGAGCUCCUGCUCUGGCUACUCAUGUGUUGGUGUUGAUCACCCAUGGUUGCUCCCCUCUGGAACAUCAUCCAAAGCAAGCAGGUGACUCAAGGCUGGAGGAGUUAUAGAACGACCUCACAGAGCAUGCAGGACUACUCUUUCCUCACCUGCUCAGUCUACUCACUUGAGUCUGACUCACAGAGCCAGAAGGAUGGAAAAUCCUUCAUCAACUUUGACCUGGAAGUAAUAGAACCUAUACUGAACCUAAGCCUUCAAAAUGGGGAACAAUAAAGACAUUUGGAAGCUGUUAGACUGACCUCCUUCCUUUCUUGUCAAACCCUUCUCCUCAAGCCCCUCCUUGGAGGCCUAAGAAAAAGGAAAGCAAGCCCUGAUGGCAGGCAACUGGUCUGCCCAACAGCAGGUCUUGUCAUCUUCCUGUAGAACACCAAGAUUUCACAGAACAUAAACAUCAAGCAAAGCCAUUCUGUGAAUCUGAUGGAUCAAGAAAAAGAUAGAUAGGAUCUGUAAUUAUGUCUGAACCCGGAAAAAAAUGUGAACAUUGUCCUAACUGCCCUAACAGUUCCCUAUCUAAAUAAGGACUUUAUUAAGACAACCCAUCAUAGAAUUAAACCCAGUUCCUGAGCGCAUCCAAUUAGAGUAAAGCACCACCUUCUGAGCCCUCUGUAAUUAGCUAACACAAGGCCACAUCCUUUCCAGUAAGCCCUUUCUAAUCCUUCUAAUGCCUUCUUCCUGAACUGCCCACAGUUCUCCCUGGAGUGUGCUCUCUGCCUAAAAGACUAGUAAACCCAACUUGUUCAGCAACAAUCUGUCCCCAUGGUGUUCAGCCAGAGGGUUUGACAAGCCUUAUGGGUGUCACAUAUGUCUUCUCCACUCCUAGUAUUACUUGUCUUGGAUCAUCGAAGACUGGCUCCCCAGAACUAACUUUCUUGGUCCAGGCAGUCAUCGCCAGUUUUUACCAAGUACUUAAUACCUUCCAGGUACUUUAUGUGGAUUAACUCAUUUGAACUUCACAAUGACUCUAUGAAUUAACAGGCUUAGCAUCCCAUAUACAGAUGAGGAAACAGAGGUACAAAGUUUAUAGCAAUGCUAAAGUGGCUGAGCCAGGACUCCAAGGAGGUCAGUUGGCCCGGCUCUAGGGCUCCAAUGUCCAUACCACCCUGCCUCCCACUGCC